GCCCGGCCGGCUGGCACCCGCAGCCCCGUGCCCGCCGUGGCGGGGCGAGGCGAGACGGUUUCGGUCAAUAGCGCCGUCAGGAUGUGGUUCUGUUUCCACGUCUCGAGCACACCUGGAGCCCUGUACUGCUGGCAAAUAGCAUCUAAGGAGCACGCUCCAAAACUGGUUUCUGUAUUUUGAAGAGAAGGUCAUUUUAGUUUCUUUCUGGAACCCUGGUUAAAUGCAUUGGCCCUGGACUGGUCAGAGGAAUUAAAACACUACUACUGAGACGUCAGAAAUGCAACCAAUGUGAAGCCCUUUUUCAGUUGUUUUUUGGAAACAUUUGUUGAAUUUCUCAUAUUGCUUCUGUCUGUUCAAUAAAAUAAUUGUCUCCAUAAUACCCA
rnacentral:lncRNA from 1 species